UUGUUAAGGCUUGCUUUGUGGUCUAAAAUGUGGUCUAUUCUGGAGAAUGUCCCAUGUAUGUUGGAAAAGAAUGUAUAUUUUGCUGCUGUUGGGUGGAAUGUUCUGUAUACAUCUAUGAAGUCUAGUUGGUCGAUUGUGGAAUUUAGAUCUUCGGUAACUUUGUAGAGUUUCUAGGUGUUCUGUCCUUCACUGAAAGUGGUGUGUUGGACUCUACUAGUAUUAUCGUGAAACUGUCUAUUUCCCUUUUCAAUGCUGUUAGAACUUGUAUUAUGUAUUUUUGAGCCCUGUCUUUGGGUGCGUAUAUAUUUAUUAUGGUUAUGUCCUCCUGGUAUAGUGAUUCUUUAAUCAUUAUAGAGUGCCAUUCUUUAUGCUUUAUGGUAGAUUUUGCUUUAAAAUCUAUUUUAUCAUAGAUUAAUAUUGUCACUCCCGCUCUUUUUUAGUUAUUGUUUGCUUGAUGUAUUUUCUUUCCAUAUUUUGAGUUUUAGUUUGUUUAUGUCUUUGUGUUUAAGGUGUGUCUCUUGUAGACUGCAUACAGACAGAUCAUGCUUUUUUUAUCUAUUCUUCUGCUCUCUGUCUUUUUACCAAUGCAUUUAGGCUAUUCACAUUCAGUGUAAUUAUUGAUAGGUACAAGUUUACUGCUGUCGUUUUGAUGUAUUUUGUGUGUAUGUGGUGUAGAUGGUUUCUUUGUUCUGCUUAAUUUUCUGUGCUGAGUUCUUUUUAUGUAUUUUAUUUUCAUCUCUUUCAUUAUUGCUGACCUUGUGUUUGCUGACUGUUUUUCUUCUUUUUUUGUUUUGAUGGGUAGAUUUAUUAGCUUCAUUUGGAAUUUACCUUUAUUUUUCUAAGUUUAAAAUAGUCUUUUAUUCCUUGAUAUCACACUGACUUUCUCUUCAUAUGGAAGUACUAUGACUACACAGUUUAUUCCCUCUCUUUUGUUUUGAUGUCAUCAUUUACAUAUUGACAUCUCUGGUUCCCUAUUUUCAGUCUUUUAGCUUUGUUUUGUUUUUGUAAAUUCCCUAUCUGGGUUGGUAUCUGGUUGAUCUGUUUCUGUGUCCUAGUCUUGGAUUAUUCUCUGAUGUUUUUGGUUCUUUAACCGGAGGACUCCCUUUAAACAUUUCUUGCAAUUUUUGUCUGGUUUUUACAAAUUUUUUUAAUUUCUGUUUAUCUGGAGAUGACCUAAUUUCACAGUCAUAUUUCAGAGACAACUUUUCUGGAUAUAUAAUUCUUGGCUGGCAAUUCUUUUUUUUUUUUUUUUCUUCGAGGCUUUAUAUAUGCUAUCUCAUUGCCUUCUUGCCUGCAUGGUUUCUGCUGAGUAAUCAGAACUUGGUCUUAUUGGUUCUUCUUAUAGGUGGUUUUUUGUUUAUCCCCAGCUCCUCUCAGGAUUCUUCCUCUGUCUUUGGUUUUGGCAAGUUUGAUUAUGUCUUUGUGACUUUCUUUUGAGGUCUACCUGUAUAGGGUUCAUUGAGCUUCUUGGAUACAUAUCAUCUCAUCUCUCACAAUAUUAGGGAAAUUUUCUGUCAGCAAAUCUUCAACAAUUCUGUGUUUUCCAUUACUCUCCUCCCCUCCCCCUUACUGGUACUCCAAUCAUGUGUAGGGUUUUCCACUUGGUAAUAUCCCACAUAAUUCUUAGACUUUCUUCAUAUUUUUUUUAUUCUUUUUUCUGAUGUUUCCAAAAAAAAAAAAAAAGAUGUCAAGGGAUUUAUCUUCUAAUUUCACUAAUUCUGAUUUCCAUUGUCUCAUUUUUGCUCCUAUGAGCUUCUAUUGAGUUGUCUAAUUCUGAAAUUUUAUUGUUAAUCUUUUGGAUUUCUAGUUACUGUUUCUGUAAUGUUUCUAGCAGCCUGUUUAUUCUGUCAUUUUGUUCCUGUAUUGUUUCCCUGAGUUUUUCUAUUGCUUUGUCUGUGUGUUCCUUGGUUUGGUCAGUGUUUUGCCUGAUCUCCUUCUUGAUCUCUUGGAGAGCUCUGUAUAUUAAUCUUUUGAAUUCUUUAUCAGGCAGUUCCAUUGUCUUAUCUUUCUCUGGAAGGUUUUCUGGGUCUUUAUUUCGGUCACUUGCUGGAGCCAUCGUGUCCUGCUUCUUUAUGUAAUUUGAUAUUGACUGUUGUCUCUCAUACAUCAAUAAGUUAUAUAUAUUUAUUAUACUUUUGUAUUUUGUUUUGUUUUGAUAGGUCCAACUAUGCCGGGUUUGUGAGCUACUCUGGUCAUUGGCAUUGUUGAAGCUCUCACCUCCUGCCUCCAGGUGUUCAGAGAAGCUACUAGGGGUUCAGAACAAAUACAAAUACACCCUGAAGGAGUCUGCAGGCUAAGGAGAGUCUUGCUGGACACCAGGCCUUCCUUGAAGAAACCUGAAAUGUUUGGGAGAACACAGAACCCUUACAUGUGGCACUGAUUGAGUUUACAAGGACAACUUACAAGCGGAAUAUAGCAAGCCCAGCUUCUGUGAGCAAAUUAGAAAACUUGCUGCUUUCUCCAGGCAGUCACAGCCCCUUGUCAAGAAGGAGAUGAAGUUUAGUGAGUGGAAUGUGCACUGAAUUUUGAACUUCUCUCAUCUCAUUGGCUUGGUGCCCUAGAGCAAUAAAGCACCUAUAUGCCAUGGUCCUGCUUAUUAAGAUAUAAAAAUUACUCAUGGAGUCCAUUAAUAACAUGUAUGGGUUUUCUUAGACAUCUCUUAGACAAGGAUGAGUGUAUUUGCUUCAUAGAACACUAGUGUGAAUAAAUAAGAAAGAGACUGCAACUAGGAACAAAUUGUAUCAUCAAAGAAUAUGUAAGCAGAGCAAUUCAAGUUUUACUAAACUCUUGAUUGCUGAAAACUAAAGCUAUUAACUCUUCUGCAUUUCCCAACUAAACAAAAAGUGAUGGAAAUUUUGAGUAAUCAUUAAAUUCUUUAGAAAGUGACUUGACAGGAUUAUCAAAUAACCAUUCAACUAUGCCACACAGAAGGAUAAAAUGCCAGGACAAUGUGUAUAGCAUGUACAGCCUUGUAUUUUUUCUGCUGGAUGCUAUAGUGGAUAGAAUCUGUCUUACGUAGAGGAAUAUAAGCUUUCUUUGACAAACUUGUAACGUAACAGGAGCUGCAAGAAACAUGGCCUUGUUAUGUUGUCUUGAGUCCCUAAAGAGAGAAAACACAAAGAAGCUCAAGCUGUUGUUUCUACACCUCCCCGUAGGCAUCAUUUCCACAAGCUACCCCAAUAUAGAUUCCAUUUUUUGAGACAGCAAGCUGAGACUUUUUUCCGCAUUGCUCUUGGCUGGGAUCUGGAUUUAGUCAAACUGGCUACUGUCUAAUUAGAACCACCUGUGAGAAUUUGGCGUCAAAAAGAAAGGAGAGAAAGAACUCUAAUGCUCAUAAUGAUUAUAAGAUUUAAUCUCAAAGCUCAUUUUAUUUGUUUUAGACCUGACAAUAAGACUUUCCAAGAACCUCUCACAUUUUUUAAAAUGGUUUUCUUCAGAUUUUGGCUGAAAAUGUUCAUUGAUUUUGUAUACACACACACACAUAUUGUGUAUGUGUGUGAAAGACAGAAAGAGAGAGAGAAACACGGUGUAUCCUCUUAAAGACAGCCUUCAAACGUACAAUAUUUGAAACCUGAGUUGGAGUCAUGACGUAUAGCCUGAUGAGCCUUCUAUAACUCAGAAUACUACAGGAGGAGCUGAGUCUACACCAUGUCAAGGAAACAGCGUCGUAAGUGCUCAGUCGCCUAAGAUGAAUUCUUUUCAGUCUAAAACUCACGAAAUUCAGUCUUCUCAUAAUGGUAAAAAGAGUUUUGAAAAUUCUGAGAAAACAACACCACUAUGCAGAGCCAGAAUAGAAUUAUGGGGGGAAGGGAGAAGUGGGGACCUUGUGUUUUUUUUUCCAUUUUCGGUCAUCAACUGUAAAAUUUCAAAGCCUUCAAAUGCCUGGUUCUGAAUAUGAAAACAUCAACUUUGAGGAAACAAAUGAAGCUUUCUGUGGAUGAAAGUCAUCUAUUAUGAAUAAUAUAAACUUUCAUGGCUAAGAUUUUUUUAAUAAUGCUAUGGCGUAAAAUAAAUUGAUACACUGUUUUUAAAAAAUCACACCUUGAUUAAAAAAAAAUCGUGAACUUAAAAUUCAAGACUAAGUCCCACAAAAUAAAUGUAAUUAUACCCUUCAUGUAUCCUAUUUUUCCUUCUCUUUUUCUUAUAAACUAAACCAUAAUUUGAAGUCUAAAUUAAGAAAAUGCAGUGUUCUGAAAAUAAAAUACAACCCCAUGGCCAAAAAACAAAAAUGCAAAUUCGUUAUAACAAUCUGAACCAACACAAUUUGCCCCAAUAAAUUUGCACUAGAACUUCACCUUCUCUUAGAAAUAAUGGCAAAAAUUGUCACUAGUCAGCCCGGAAAUGAGUAUACUGCAUCAAAUGUUUUCUGUUACUCUCAACUUCUUGAGGUGCUUAACUCCCCCUUGUAAUCAUUUUGUCAUCUUCAAACACCACAUUUUCUAAUCAGUGGCUAAAAGGAUGGAAUUGGAUAGUUUUGCCUAUGUGUGCUGAUCAAGAAAUGAAAAGUCAACACUGUUAGUACUGGGAUUUUGUGCAACCUGGUUAUAAAAAUGCCCUUGAAAUUUGGCCAGUGGUUAUAACUACUUCUUUCAAAAGCCCUGUUAGAAAUUGUAAACAAGGCACCCUUGAUAUUUUAGUUUCCCUUCAAGACUGUUGAAGCCUCUUUCAGGUCAUGUGGUAAAGGACUUAAGUGAGUAUUAAACUGGGAAAGAGCAGAUCUAGGUUUGAAUCUUGACUCUGCUUUUAUCUAGUUGAGAAUGUGGUCAAUAUAGAGUUGCUGAGUUUUGCAAGAACCCAUUCACUUAUCUGCAAAAGGAGCUUAGCAGUGCCACUUCAAAGAGCUGGGGGGAUUGAAUAUGAACAUGAACACAAAAAUAUUUGAGGAAAUUGUCAAAAACUACAUGAAUAUAAAAUAUUGUUCAAAUUUUUGUCUUAAAAUUUUCCUUGUUUCUGGCUCACUUUCACUAUAUUUGUACCUAAUGUUGGAACAGAACAGAAAAAAAUUUCUAUACCUACUUGGAAUCUUGCCCCUUCCUCUUGUCUCCAUGAUGCCAUUUGUUCUUUUUACCCUUAGGGCCCUCCUUUAAGUUGAAUUUUUAAGUUGGAUGAGGGACCCUUCAUCUUUGCCUUACCUCCUGUAACCAACAAAAUUCAAGAAAUUACACUCUGUCUACAGGCCAUUUCUUAAGAAAUGACAUAACUCAACCAUAACAUUUGUGGUCCUCGAAUUAACUCUUAUGUAUUUUUUUUAUCAUAGCCCAACUCCUCAAAAUACUUUUAUUACUUUACAUUCGUCUUAUUUUCCCUUUUUUUUUCUUUUCCUCUUCUCUCACUUCCUAACUCCGGACACUCAAAAUUCAUACUUCCUAUCUUUUUGAAAAUCUUUCCUUGUAUUUCUCCACUGCUUUCUUUUAUUUUUAUUCAUUGAACAAAUUGACAAAUUUAAAGGGCUCCCCAAUGUCCUAUAUGAAGUCAAAAACAGAACCAUUGUCAACAGCUGAAUAAAGAUUAAAUGAAAAAUGUUUAGCCUGGGUAAAGAAAACAUAUUUAUUAUAAUGCAUUACCUUUAUGAUUAAAUUAGCACUCAUUAAACUGUAGGGUCACUAUGAGUUGGAGUCAACUUGGCGUCAAUAAUAU